rnacentral:rRNA from 1 species
UACAGAGGUCUCAACCGUUGUUCGGAUUCAUUGGGCGUAAAGGGUGCGUAGGCGGUCGCGCAAGUCGGAUGUGAAAUCUCAGGGCUCAACCCUGAAACUGCAUUCGAUACUGCGUGGCUAGAGUGCUGGAGGGGAGACUGGAAUUUACGGUGUAGCAGUGAAAUGCGUAGAUAUCGUAAGGAGCGCCAGUGGCGAAAGCGAAUCUCUGGGCAGCAACUGACGCUGAGGCACGAAGGCCAGGGGAGCAAACGGG